AUGAGCUUGGCAGAGUGGACGAUUGCAAUCAAAAUCCAGAUGAAUAUAAUUAUUCCGUCGUAGGUUCGAAUCCUACAGCUCAUCUA
rnacentral:tRNA from 1 species